rnacentral:rRNA from 1 species
UACGAAGGGGGCUAGCGUUGUUCGGAAUUACUGGGCGUAAAGCGCACGUAGGCGGGUCUUUUAAGUCAGGGGUGAAAUCCUGGAGCUCAACUCCAGAACUGCCUUUGAUACUGAAGAUCUUGAGUUCGGGAGAGGUGAGUGGAACUGCGAGUGUAGAGGUGAAAUUCGUAGAUAUUCGCAAGAACACCAGUGGCGAAGGCGGCUCACUGGCC